rnacentral:rRNA from 1 species
GACGAACCGUCCGAACGUUAUUCGGAAUUACUGGGCUUAAAGGGCGCGUAGGUGGCGCAACAAGUCAGUGGUGAAAGCUCGACGCUCAACGUCGAGUCGGCCACUGAGACUGUUGGGCUUGAGCACUGUAGAGGCUAAUGGAAUUCCGGGUGUAGCGGUGGAAUGCGUAGAGAUCCGGAAGAACACCGGUGGCGAAGGCGGUUAGCUGGGCAGUUGCUGACACUGAGGCGCGACAGCGUGGGGAGCAAACAGG